rnacentral:lncRNA from 1 species
AAACUUGCCAGAAUCUUAGUCUUAGCUUAUUUCGAUGCUCCGAAUUCGUUUCCGCGUCUAUUUCGCACUGAAACGACUCUAAUUCAUCUCGAGACUCUCCAGAUGUAUUAACCAGCUAACACUAAUGCCGUGAAUUUGACUUCCACUCCCUCGGGGUAUCACGUAGAACUUGGCUAAUUUUACAUUUGGAUGAAAAUUAAGUUAUUUUAAAAAAUAAAACAAAUAGCGUUUAGAUUGAUAAGAUAGAAUAAGAAGAAUAAUGGAUAGUUAUAAAUAGAAAAUAACGAUAUUAUUCGUCUUAUUACAUUUGAAUUUGAGUUUUUAAAUUUUAUAUUUAAUUUUUUAAAUUUUAUAUUUGAAUUUUUAAUUUUUAAAUUUUAUUUUUUAAAUCUUAAAAUUCAAAAUUAAAAUUUAAAAUAUCAAAUUUUUAAAUUUCAAAUUUAAAUUUGAUAUAAAAUUUAAAUUUGAAAAUUUAAAAUACCAAAUUUAAAAUUUAUAUUUUAAAAUUUUAAUUUUAAUUUAUUAAAUUUAAAUUUUAAAAUUUAAAAUUUAAAUUUAAAUUUUAGAAAAAGGGAGCCAGAGGAACAACUGUUUCAGGACAGAGUG